rnacentral:rRNA from 1 species
CCUACGGGUGGCAGCAGUGGGGAAUAUUGCACAUUGGGGGGAACCCUGAUGCAGCGACGCCGCGUGGGUGACAAAGCGCCUCGGCGCGUACAGCCCUUUCAUCAGGGAACAAAAUGACGGUCCCGUACUAAUAAGCCCCGGCUAACUACGUGCCAGCAGCCGCGGUACGACGUAGGGGGCACGCGUUAUCCGGAUUUACUGGGUGUAAAGGGGGCGCAUCCGGCGAUGAAAGCCAGGAGGGAAAGCCCGGGGCCCAACGCCGGGACUGCCCUUGGAACUGGGUGGCUGGAGUGCAGGAGGGGAAGGCGGAAUUCCUGGUGGAGCGGGGAAAUGCGUAGAUAGCAGGAGGAACACCGGUGGCGAAGGCGGCCUGCUGGACUGCAACUGACGUUGAGGCACGAAAGCGUGGGGAGCAAACAGGAUUAGAUACCCGUGUAGUC